AGGGGCAUCAAGGUUUGAAUCCUGGAGUCUGGCUCGCCGGAAGGCAUCUGUUU
rnacentral:rRNA from 1 species